CGUAAGGCGCCGAAUGAGUCAUUAAAAAAUUAACAUCAUCCGAUCCCUAGUCGGCAUAGUUUAUGGUUAAGACUACGACGGUAUCUGAUCGUCUUCGAUCCCCUAACUUUCGUUCUUGAUUAAUGAAAACAUCCUUGGCAAAUGCUUUUCGCAGUAGUUAGUCUUCAAUAAAUCCAAGAAUUUCACCUCUGACAAUUGAAUACUAAUGCCCCCAACUAUCCCUAUUAAUCAUUACGUCAAUCCUAGAAACCAACAAAAUAGGAUCGAACGUCCUAUUUCAUUAUUCCAUGCUAAUGUAUUCAAG
rnacentral:rRNA from 1 species